CCUACGGGAGGCAGCAGGGAGGAAUAUUGGGCAAUGGCCGAGAGGCUGAACCAGCCAAGUCGCGUGAGGGAAGAAUGUCCUAUGGAUUGUAAACCUCUUUUGUCAGGGAGCAAAGUCACCCACGUGUGGGUGUUUGAGAGUACCUGAAGAACAAGCAUCGGCUAACUCCGUGCCAGCAGCCGCGGUAAUACGGGGGAUGCGAGCGUUAUCCGGAUUUAUUGGGUUUAAAGGGUGCGUAGGCGGGACCUUAAGUCAGCGGUAAAAUUGCGGUGCUCAACGCCGUAGAGCCGUUGAAACUGGGGUUCUUGAGUGAGCGAGAAGUAUGCGGAAUGCGUGGUGUAGCGGUGAAAUGCAUAGAGAUCACGCAGAACCCCGAUUGCGAAGGCAGCAUACCGGCGCUCAACUGACGCUGAGGCACGAAAGUGCGGGUAUCGAACAGGAUUAGAUACCCGUGUAGUC
rnacentral:rRNA from 1 species